rnacentral:rRNA from 1 species
CCUACGGGAGGCAGCAGUGGGGAAUAUUGGACAAUGGGCGCAAGCCUGAUCCAGCCAUACCGCGUGUGUGAAGAAGGCCUUUUGGUUGUAAAGCACUUUAAGCGAGGAGGAGGCUCUUGAGGAUAAUACCCUUGAUGAGUGGACGUUACUCGCAGAAUAAGCACCGGCUAACUCUGUGCCAGCAGCCGCGGUAAUACAGAGGGUGCGAGCGUUAAUCGGAAUUACUGGGCGUAAAGCGCGCGUAGGCGGCUUGUUAAGUCGGAUGUGAAAUCCCCGGGCUCAACCUGGGCACUGCAUUCGAUACUGGCAAGCUAGAGUAUGGGAGAGGAAGGUAGAAUUCCAGGUGUAGCGGUGAAAUGCGUAGAGAUCUGGAGGAAUACCGAUGGCGAAGGCAGCCUUCUGGCCUAAUACUGACGCUGAGGUGCGAAAGCAUGGGGAGCAAACAGGAUUAGAUACCCUGGUAGUCCAUGCCGUAAACGAUGUCAACUAGCCGUUGGGGACCUUGAGUCUUAGUGCGCAGCUAACGCGAUAAGUUGACCGCCUGGGGAGUACGGUCGCAAAGACUAAAACUUAAAUGAAUUGACGG